rnacentral:rRNA from 1 species
CUCCAGAGUGGAUCCUGAGUACGGCGGAACACGUGAAAUUCCGUCGGAAUCCGGGAGGACCAUCUCCCAAGGCUAAAUACUCCCUAGUGACCGAUAGUGAACCAGUACCGUGAGGGAAAGGGGAAAAGCACCCCGGAAGGGGAGUGAAACAGUUCCUGAAACCGUGUGCCUACAAGUAGUUAGAGCCCGUUAAUGGGUGAUAGCGUGCCUUUUGUAGAAUGAACCGGCGAGUUACGAUUUGUUGCAAGG